CAGCCGCCACGGUAAUACGUAGGGUGCGAGCGUUAAUCGGAAUUACUGGGCGUAAAGCGUGCGCAGGCGGUCGUGUAAGACAGGUGUGAAAUCCCCGGGCUUAACCUGGGAACUGCGCUUGUGACUGCACAGCUAGAGUAUGGCAGAGGGGGGUGGAAUUCCACGUGUAGCAGUGAAAUGCGUAGAGAUGUGGAGGAACACCGAUGGCGAAGGCAGCCCCCUGGGCCAAUACUGACGCUCAUGCACGAAAGCGUGGGGAGCAAACAGGAUUAGAUACCCCUGUAGUCCCUGUCUCUUAUAC
rnacentral:rRNA from 1 species